CUACGGGGCGCAGCAGUGGGGAAUCUUAGACAAUGGGCGCAAGCCUGAUCUAGCCAUGCCGCGUGAGUGAUGAAGGCCUUAGGGUUGUAAAGCUCUUUCAGCUGGGAAGAUAAUGACGGUACCAGCAGAAGAAGCCCCGGCUAACUCCGUGCCAGCAGCCGCGGUAAUACGGAGGGGGCUAGCGCUGUUCGGAAUUACUGGGCGUAAAGCGCACGUAGGCGGAUUGGAAAGUCAGAGGUGAAAUCCCAGGGCUCAACCUUGGAACUGCCUUUGAAACUAUCAGUCUGGAGUUCGAGAGAGGUGAGUGGAAUUCCGAGUGUAGAGGUGAAAUUCGUAGAUAUUCGGAGGAACACCAGUGGCGAAGGCGGCUCACUGGCUCGAUACUGACGCUGAGGUGCGAAAGCGUGGGGAGCAAACAGGAUUAGAUACCCGGGUAGUC
rnacentral:rRNA from 1 species